UACAGAGGGUGCAAGCGUUGUUCGGAAUUAUUGGGCGUAAAGGGCGCGUAGGCGGUGCGGUAAGUCUAUAGUGAAAUCUCUGGGCUCAACUCAGAGUCUGCUGCAGAAACUGCCGUGCUUGAGUGUGGGAGAGGUGAGUGGAAUUCCCGGUGUAGCGGUGGAAAUGCGUAGAGAUCGGGAGGAACACCAGAGGCGAAGGCGGCGCCUGGACAGGUACUGACACUCAACUACGAAAGCGUGGGGAGCAAACAGG
rnacentral:rRNA from 1 species